UCAGAACGUCGAGACGUCGUCGGAGGCGGCGAGAUCACCUCCGACGACGUUGCGGUGGUUGCGAUAGAAAGCAAGAGAGGGAGAGGUGGUGACAAAAAAAAAAAAGAAAAAAAUAAGAAUAAUAAAAAUAAAAAUAAAAUUUUUUUUUCCUACAGAAAAGAUUAAAAAAUAUAGUGGAAGGAAGAAGAUGAUGAGAAUUGCACUCUUAGAAUAAAAUUACACUAUUUUAAAAAAAUUUGCACUGUUUUAAUGAAAAUUGCACUAUUUGAUAUAAAAAUUACACUCUUUUGA
rnacentral:lncRNA from 1 species